UACGGAGGGGGCUAGCGUUGUUCGGAAUUACUGGGCGUAAAGCGCACGUAGGCGGCGAUUUAAGUCAGAGGUGAAAGCCCGGGGCUCAACCCCGGAAUAGCCUUUGAGACUGGAUUGCUAGAAUCUUGGAGAGGCGAGUGGAAUUCCGAGUGUAGAGGUGAAAUUCGUAGAUAUUGGGAAGAACACCGGUGGCGAAGGCGGCGAGCUGGUCCAUUACUGACGCUGAGGCGCGACAGCGUGGGGGAGCAAACAGG
rnacentral:rRNA from 1 species